rnacentral:lncRNA from 1 species
UGACAGAAGACACUCCCUCCAACAAAUGAAACGCACCCUUGGAGCGAGGCGAGCAAAUUAAUUACUUAAAAAAAAAAAAAGUUCCUUUGUGUUGUGCUGUUUUUAUUUUGCAUUCAUUUUAACUCUACCAAAAAAAUACUUGGUGCUAGCAAUGCUGUCGUGUUAGCAUUCAGCUAGCUAACCUGCAGCCAACAUGUUGCUCCAUCUCUCCACCUGUGUCACCUCAAACUACAGGCCUCGCGCUGGAGGUUCUUACUCCUGGGGACCAACUCCUGAAACUCCCCCAAAGGAUUCCCUCCCAGUUCUUCACUUCACCAAGGGUGGACUUCGCCUUUCAGUGACUUCUGGAAAGUUUUGGAGAGAAAUGCACCUCUGGACUGUUCUGCAAGUGAAUG